CCUACGGGAGGCUGCAGUAGGGAAUUUUCGGCAAUGGGGGGAACCCUGACCGAGCAACGCCGCGUGAACGAAGAAGUUAUUCGUAAUGUAAAGUUCUUUUAACAGGGAAGAAAGAGAAAUUUGACGGUACCUGAAGAAUAAGCUCCGGCAAACUACGUGCACGCAGCCGCGGUAAUAAGUAGGGAGCGAGCGGUAUCCGGAAUAAUUGGGCGAAAAGAGUGCGUAGAUGGGAUAGUAAGUCUUUUGUAAAAAUGCUGGGCUAAACCCAGUAGGGCAAAAGAUACUGUAAAGCUAGAGUAGAACAGAGGCAAGUGGAACUACAUGUGUAGCGGUAAAAUGCGUAGAUAUAUGUAAGAACACCAGUGGCGAAGGCGGCUUGCUGGGUCGAGACUGACAUUGAGGCACGAAAGCGUGGGGAGCAAACAGGAUUAGAUACCCGAGUAGUC
rnacentral:rRNA from 1 species